rnacentral:sRNA from 1 species
GGAAGGAAGAAGAAAGAAAGGAAGGAAUAAGGAAAGAAAGAUUGAUUCUGAGCCUUGUCCUAGACUCACAGGAAAAGGAGCAGUGCUUGUUUAUGUCAGGUUCUGGAGGAGAGAGGGGGCACCUGCUGUCUCCUGUUUUGGAUACAAGUUAGCCCUAGAGAGGAAAGAAGGUGGGAAGGAACAAGGUGUGAGGGCAUGGUGGAAAUGACGGAGGCAGGUGGACUCAGCACCUCAGGCACCCAGGCACCCAUGCACAUGCUACAGGCAUGGCUGUCCUGUGGGAAUCUCUCAGCAUCUAGGGGCUAAGGAUGGCCAUCUCUCCAGAAUGACAGGACUUUUCUAGAAGUUGCAAGUGUGUGUCCUGACUCUCGUGCUGCAGGUUCUGCAGCCCUGGGCAUGCAGAACCCCAGGCCUCAGUUUCCCCAUCUGUUCUCAUUUGCUUCCUAUUGCUGAUCAAAAUCAGCCAGGAGAGGGUUUAUUUUAUCUUACAGCUUGACCCGGUUGACCCAGGGAAGUGAAGGCAAGAACUGAAGCAGAUGCCAUGGGGGAGUGUGGCUCACUAACUUGCUUUCUCUGCUCUCUUAUAGAACCCGGGACCAUCUGGCCAGGGGCAGCAGAGCCCACACGGAGAUGACUUUACCUUGUGUCAACCUGACAAAAAGCUAACCACCACACUAUGUGAACCUCCCUGCAUCCUGAAUUCGGGUGAGAAUUAAAGGAACUCAUAGACAUGGAGAAUUAGAUCCAGCAAAGAAGCAGUCAACAGAAAGACUGGGCAAUCUGCAUCAUGAGGGAAAAUAUUUGUGAAGCCACGUUAUCAGUCCUUCGCAUUCUCUGGUCCCACAGAGUGAACUCAAUAAACCUUGGGUUGAAAAUCGGGGAUGUGUGGAUUUUUUUUGUAACUAUUCUAUAAAUAAUACAACUAUUUAUGUUUCGUUUGAAUUAAAAGUAACCCAGAGAUUAUUAAAGUAUGUGCACAUUAUAAUAAGCAAA